rnacentral:rRNA from 1 species
UACGUAGGGACCAAGCGUUGUUCGGAUUUACUGGGCGUAAAGGGCUCGUAGGCGGCCAUUCAAGUCAGCUGUGAAAUCUCCGGGCUUAACUCGGAACGGUCAGCUGAUACUGCUUUGCUAGAGUGCAGAAGGGGCAAUCGGAAUUCUUGGUGUAGCGGUGAAAUGCGUAGAUAUCAAGAGGAACACCUGAGGUGAAGACGGGUUGCUGGGCUGACACUGACGCUGAGGCGCGAAAGCUAGGGUAGCAAACGGG